CAAUUUAAACAACGAAGAGUUUGAUCCUGGCUCAGGAUGAACGCUAGCGACAGGCUUAACACAUGCAAGUCGAGGGGCAGCGGGGGUAGCAAUACCCGCCGGCGACCGGCGCACGGGUGAGUAACGCGUAUGCAACUUACCUAUCAGAGGGGGAUAACCCGGCGAAAGUCGGACUAAUACCGCAUGAAGCAGGGGCCCCGCAUGGGGAUAUUUGCUAAAGAUUCAUCGCUGAUAGAUAGGCAUGCGUUCCAUUAGGCAGUUGGCGGGGUAACGGCCCACCAAACCGACGAUGGAUAGGGGUUCUGAGAGGAAGGUCCCCCACAUUGGUACUGAGACACGGACCAAACUCCUACGGGAGGCAGCAGUGAGGAAUAUUGGUCAAUGGGCGCGAGCCUGAACCAGCCAAGUCGCGUGAGGGAUGAAGGUUCUAUGGAUCGUAAACCUCUUUUAUAAGGGAAUAAAGUUCGGGACGUGUCCCGUUUUGUAUGUACCUUAUGAAUAAGGAUCGGCUAACUCCGUGCCAGCAGCCGCGGUAAUACGGAGGAUCCGAGCGUUAUCCGGAUUUAUUGGGUUUAAAGGGUGCGUAGGCGGCCUUUUAAGUCAGCGGUGAAAGUCUGUGGCUCAACCAUAGAAUUGCCGUUGAAACUGGGGGGCUUGAGUAUGUUUGAGGCAGGCGGAAUGCGUGGUGUAGCGGUGAAAUGCUUAGAUAUCACGCAGAACCCCGAUUGCGAAGGCAGCCUGCCAAGCCAUGACUGACGCUGAUGCACGAAAGCGUGGGGAUCAAACAGGAUUAGAUACCCUGGUAGUCCACGCAGUAAACGAUGAUCACUAGCUGUUUGCGAUACACAGUAAGCGGCACAGCGAAAGCGUUAAGUGAUCCACCUGGGGAGUACGCCGGCAACGGUGAAACUCAAAGGAAUUGACGGGGGCCCGCACAAGCGGAGGAACAUGUGGUUUAAUUCGAUGAUACGCGAGGAACCUUACCCGGGUUUGAACGCAUUCGGACCGAGGUGGAAACACCUUUUCUAGCAAUAGCCGUUUGCGAGGUGCUGCAUGGUUGUCGUCAGCUCGUGCCGUGAGGUGUCGGCUUAAGUGCCAUAACGAGCGCAACCCUUGCCACUAGUUACUAACAGGUAAAGCUGAGGACUCUGGUGGGACUGCCAGCGUAAGCUGCGAGGAAGGCGGGGAUGACGUCAAAUCAGCACGGCCCUUACAUCCGGGGCGACACACGUGUUACAAUGGCGUGGACAAAGGGAAGCCACCUGGCGACAGGGAGCGAAUCCCCAAACCACGUCUCAGUUCGGAUCGGAGUCUGCAACCCGACUCCGUGAAGCUGGAUUCGCUAGUAAUCGCGCAUCAGCCAUGGCGCGGUGAAUACGUUCCCGGGCCUUGUACACACCGCCCGUCAAGCCAUGGGAGCCGGGGGUACCUGAAGUCCGUAACCGCGAGGAUCGGCCUAGGGUAAAACUGGUGACUGGGGCUAAGUCGUAACAAGGUAGCCGUACCGGAAGGUGCGGCUGGAACACCUCCUUUCU
rnacentral:rRNA from 1 species